CGGGGGGGUAAGCGUUGUUCGGAAUUACUGGGCGUAAAGGGCUCGUAGGCGGCCAACUAAGUCAGACGUGAAAUCCCUCAGCUUAACUGGGGAACUGCGUCUGAUACUGGAUGGCUUGGAUUUGGGAGAGGGAUGCGGAAUUCCAGGUGUAGCGGUGAAAUGCGUAGAUAUCUGGAGGAACACCGGUGGCGAAGGCGGCAUCCUGGACCAACAUUGACGCUGAGGAGCGAAAGCCAGGGGAGCAAACGGGAUUAGAUACCCCGGUAGUCCUGGCCCUAAACGAUGAAUGCUUGGUGUAGCGGGUAUCGAUCCCUGCUGUGCCGAAGCUAACGCAUUAAGCAUUCCGCCUGGGGAGUACGGUCGCAAGGCUG
rnacentral:rRNA from 1 species